rnacentral:rRNA from 1 species
GAUGAACGCUGGCGGCGUGCCUAAUACAUGCAAGUCGAGCGAACAGACGAGGAGCUUGCUCCUCUGACGUUAGCGGCGGACGGGUGAGUAACACGUGGAUAACCUACCUAUAAGACUGGGAUAACUUCGGGAAACCGGAGCUAAUACCGGAUAAUAUAUUGAACCGCAUGGUUCAAUAGUGAAAGACGGUUUUGCUGUCACUUAUAGAUGGAUCCGCGCCGCAUUAGCUAGUUGGUAAGGUAACGGCUUACCAAGGCAACGAUGCGUAGCCGACCUGAGAGGGUGAUCGGCCACACUGGAACUGAGACACGGUCCAGACACCUACGGGAGGCAGAAGUAGGGAAUCUUCCGCAAUGGGCGAAAGCUUGACGGAGCAACGCCGCGUGAGUGAUGAAGGUCUUCGGAUCGUAAAACUCUGUUAUUAGGGAAGAACAAAUGUGUAAGUAACUAUGCACGUCUUGACGGUACCUAAUCAGAAAGCCACGGCUAACUACGUG